CACACUCCCUUGCUAAAGCCCAGAAAAGAUAAACGCAAGGAAGGCAGUCGUGCCAUGGAGGAGCGAUUUUCGCUGCAUGGAAAUAAUUCCAGCAAUUAAAUUGGAAGGCGAGACGGCACCGCUGCGUUGAUUCUUGUUGGAAAUUAAUUAUACAAACCAAACGAACCGCCGGCUCGGCCGCUGCCUGCUGCGACGAUCUCCCUCCGUGUCUCCGCAGAGUCCGCCGCGCGCCGCCGCCGACGGCCGGCCUGGCUACAUACGUGGCUGGAGGCUGGUCGCUCCCCUGCUCAUCAUCCUCAUCCUCAUCCCCAACUGGCCAACUCUGAAACUAGGUAGCGGCAUUUACGUUGGAGACAAAUUUUCUCUUUUGCAAUAUGUGUACUAUUGAGAUAUAAACUCUUUUUUAUAAGGUAUGUUCACUUUAGUGAUAAACUCGUCAUGGCUCUGUUGGAUGAAGUAUCUUUUUUUUUUUAAACUUGGUUGAAGUAUCUUAUGACUUGGAGUAAUUGGAAACUGCUACUCUCUCAGAUCCAUAUUGAUUGUCGCUCACUUAACAAAUAAUAUGGAUCAGAGAGAGCAUUUGUGUAUAACAUAUUGUGAGGUUUAUAAGCCUUUGUAAGUUUUCUUA